UACAGAGGGUGCGAGCGUUGUUCGGAGUUACUGGGCGUAAAGCGUGCGUAGGCGGUGUUCCAAGUCUGUUGUGAAAUCUCCCGGCUUAACUGGGAGGGUGCGGCGGAAACUGGAACGCUGGAGUAUGGGAGAGGUAAGCGGAAUUCCCGGUGUAGUGGUGAGAUGCGUAGAGAUCGGCAGGAACACCCAGGGGGAAACCAGUGGACUGGGCAGGCGCUGACACUCAUGUGCGAAAGCGUGGGGAGCGAACCGG
rnacentral:rRNA from 1 species